GUGCGAAACUGGUUUGUUUGGAAAAAAUGGCUGCCGCCAUGAUGGUGCCUUUUUCACAUCGUCUGCAAGUUUAUGUGACGACCUGUUAAAAGUUUAACAGUGACACGCGCCAGUUCAUGUGUCAACGAGCGCAAAUUGUGAACGAUGGCUUGGAAAAAAUUCAGUUCAGAGUUCAAAGCGCCACCUUGCAACAAACAGCGCCAUGGAAACAGCUGUGGAGUGUUUGCAUUGAUGACUGCCAAAUGUUUGGUCAUGAAAAAGCAUCCCACAAUGUUGCGACAGGCCCAUGAUUCAGUUUAUCGAGACUAGUCGUGAGACGCAGACUUUUGAUUCAUGGAGUGCGGCAAACAUAUCUGUGCGACUCGAUCACUCCACUGUAAAGACCCGCACGGCAUUAAAAUGGAUAUUAUCAAUAUGUGUUGUUGCUCGAAAAUAUGUUUUUGUAGCAGGAAGUGCUUUGGGCUCGAUUAAUCUGAGAACUCGACAAAAUAUUAAUAAAAUCCUUCUGUGCCUUUUAGUUCUGAAAACAGAAGUAGCAAGUUGGUAUUACACAUCUCCUAAACAAGUACAAUACAACUUAAGGUUUUAAAUCCUACAUUUUUAUAACAUCUUUAUAUUCACACAAAAAUAUUGAUGAUUGUGGUGCUCAGAUUGCAAAACCACCUGUUUGGCAAAAAUAAUGCAGAUGGUUAGAUUAUGAUAAGUGCAAGAAAAAAAGAAUAACUCUGGAGAUAAUUGAUAUGAUAAUCAUUGUUUGACAGAAUCACAAUUGACCUAGAUAUUUAUUUAUGUAGUGGUAUAUUUUUCAAUGAGUGCCUUAAGAUUCCAAAAACAUAUUGACUUAAAAUAAAUAAUCCGGAUGGCGUAAAUGACUUAUCAUUUCAUGUUCAUGAACCGGUUUUAAAAUACUUUGUAGACUUAUCUGCUAGGCGGUGAGGACUUUUAGACCACCUGAUAAACUUCAACUUUAUUUGCCCUAGUUAAGUAACCGACUAAAGAUAUGCUAACAUAAUACUGAUGACUGAUGAGUCUGUUGUGUCUUAUAUUCUCAUUGCUACUAAAAAUAUUAAGUCUUUUUCAACGUUUAGACUAAUAAUAAGCAAAUUCGUUAAAUUGAUAUCCCCCGCCAAAUAAAUUUUGAUUAUUGAUGGGUGCAGAACUAACAGAAAAGUUUAUUUGAAGGGUUGUACCCUUAUCUCACUUAUUUAAAAGUAACAACAUAAAAAAAACCCAUUGGCAAUAACUCUUAUUUAAGAAAGUGUAGGGUUAUAGAUUUUGUGCAUGACACCUCUCCUCAUUGAUAUCUUAACAUCCAUUAAAUUUCAUCUUUAAAUCGUGUAUAGUAUCUGUGAUAUAGUCCUGUAAAGUAACAUCAGACAUGUACAUAUGUACUAGGGUUAUGUUUCUUGUGCAUGGCACUUAUUCUCAUUGACAAUUAUACACCCAUGAAAUUUCAUGUUGAAAUCUUGUAUUUAUAGUUUCUGAUAUAAAGCCCUGAAAAGUUACAUCAUACAAAAACAACAAAGGGCAAUAACUCUUAUAUAAGAAAGUGAAGGGUUGUGGUUCUUAUGCAUGGUUCUAUAAAUGAGAUAUAGCCCUGAAAAGUUACAUCAUAAAAUAACAAUAACAAGAAAGGGCAAUAACAGUUAUGUAAGAAAGUAUACGGUUAUGGUUCUCGUGCAUUGAUAAUUAUACACCCAUGAAGUUUCAUUUUAAAAUCUUGUAUAGUAUCUGAGAUAUAGCCCUAGUUACAUCAUACAAAAACAACAAAGCGAAAUAACUCUUAUUAUGCCCCCCUUCGAAGAAGAGGGGGUAUAUUGCUUUGCUCAUGUCGGUCGGUCGGUCCGACGGGUUAUGGUUCUUGUGCAUUGCACCUCUCCUCAGCUAUAUUUAUACACCCAUAAAGUUUCAUGUUGAAAACUUAUAUUGAGUUUCUGAGAUAAAGUACUGAAAAGUUUGUGAGUGACUGCACUGACAGACAGACCAACGGUACGUUUAAGUAUAUUUAGCGUCCCGGGGUACAUUAAAGUAUACUUAAGAGUACACGGGGUACUUUAAAGCAUUACCGGAGCCGAACCGACAAUUACCAAUCGAGCUUAUUGACAUGUUAAAUAAAUGAUGAUAGUGGUAAAUAUGAUUGUGUGAAAUAUAAUACAAUAGUUUUCCUGAAUUGAGUGUACAUGUGAAUUAGCUAAAAUAAUGAUAAA